rnacentral:snRNA from 1 species
GGAUCAGGACAACCUGGCUUUGAUCUUGUAUGCCAUUGACCACCAUGGUUGAUUUGGCUGGUCUGAUGAGCUAGGUGGAUGCCACUCCUUCCUUCAUCGGUCCAUGUGUGUCCUCUGCAAAGCUGCAUACCGUUGUUAAAGGACAUGACCUUCCUGGAAGGAUGAAGACCAGUUUUCAGUCAAGGGUUCUUGGAUAGUUAGUUGUGCUUUCUUGUUAAAAAUCUUCAAAUAAAUUCCCAAGAGAUAGACAUGUGCUGCUUUAUAAACUCUUCCUGG